AUUGAACGCUGGCGGCAGGCCUAACACAUGCAAGUCGAGCGGAUGAAGGGAGCUUGCUCCUGGAUUCAGCGGCGGACGGGUGAGUAAUGCCUAGGAAUCUGCCUGGUAGUGGGGGCUAACGUCCGGAAACGGGCGCUAAUACCGUAUACGUCCUGAGGGAGAAAGUGGGGGAUCUUCGGACCUCACGCUAUCAAAUGAGCCUAGGUCGGAUUAGCUAGUUGGUGGGGUAAAGGCCUACCAAGGCGACGAUCCGUAACUGAUCUGAGAGGAUGAUCAGUCACACUGGAACUGAGACACGGUCCAGACUCCUACGGGAGGCAGCAGUGGGGAAUAUUGGACAAUGGGCGAAAGCCUGAUCCAGCCAUGCCGCGUGAGUGAAGAAGGUCUUCGGAUUGUAAAGCACUUUAAGUUGGGAGGAAGGGCAGUAAGUUAAUACCUUGCUGUUUUGACGGUACCAACAGAAUAAGCACCGGCUAACUUCGUG
rnacentral:rRNA from 1 species